CUUUGUCAUCGAUACUAGUGGUAUCGUGUUACAGAAUUAAUUAUUCAUUUGACCUCAUUACGUCAUCUAAUUUAUUCAUUAUGAAACUUUUCUUUCCACACAAAAAUGGACCUACGAACACUCCGGUUGAGUUUGAAGAACAAGAAAAACAGUAGAGGUCUACCCGGUACCUAUGGUUAAAGAUGAUGAUCAUAAGUGCAUGUAUCAUUUUGCAGAUUCUCAUCCAGGAUGAUGCAGCUCUACAAUUUCCAUGGAGGUGAUUGAUGAUGAUAAACAAUUGGUGAAGUAGGCCUAAUAGAACAGUGAUAGGACCACAAAGAGAAAUACAACCUGCAGCAGUUAUAUGAGACUGGUGUAACAGAUGUUUUCAUUCAAGAAAUCCAACAAAUUGAAGAGAGAUUUAGCUUAGGAAGCACUUGAUAAAGAUGGAAAAGGUGUUUUUUUUUUCAAGUCCAAUUUUUUUUUUUAAUUAUCAUCACAACCCCAAAUUCAUGAAGUAUGAAAUUUCCUGUCGAUUUUCAUUAAAACUGGUUGCAAAAGGAGAAGCUAUAAACAUACAAACAGGAGCGGCGAAGUGAAGUUGAA